UUUGUAGAUACAUUUUUUUUAUCACUUGAAGGAAGUUCUCAGAAAUUAAUGCUUCAUCUACAGCUAUACUUCUAUUGAGAUGCAGAUGACUUGCCGUCCUUGCUAAUUUGUGCCUGUGAUCCAAUCUCACUCUUCAGUGAGAUCUAUGGGAAACAAUUCCCCUUUCGAUGUCAAUAUUGGCAUUCCCUACAGGAUGAAGAGAGUCCAGAAAUCCUAAGGGAUGAAGAUUUCCAAGAUUACAUGUCUAUGGAAGAUGAGAGACCUUGUUGUCUUACAAAUAAUGACAUGCUGUUUAGUCACUCAGUGGAGAAGGGUGAGUUCACACUCAACAAGACCCCAGAUCCUCCGUGUGUGAGAUACACUUGCUUCCAGGCUGAGGACCAGGUCGCCUUCCCUUCUCUUUUCUCCUGCAGCUCUAACAUGAAUUAUAUAUUGUCUUAUUUUCUUGUUCAGACUGGCUGUGGUUUCCUAUAAACUACACAACAUUUCAUAGAUUUGUUAAAGCUGCCCUAAUAUGCACCAACUCACUCUGCUUCUUUUUUCCCUAUCAUUUCUGAGAAAACAAAAGGUAAAUAAGAAUUUUUAUCUUACUCUACUCUUUUAAUGUGGCCUAACUUCAUAUAUUGUACUAGCACUUCUGAAUUUUGUUUUAUAAAUGUUAUUUUAUAAUCUACUGGGCAAUAUUCCUAAUACUCAAAUAUUUCUCAUGCUAAAAAAAUCAGACAAAUGUGUCCAAGUAAAGUCACAAAAGAAGGAAAUCAUGGGAGAUGUUUAAUAUGUAAAUCUCAUUUAAGCAUAACAAAUAAUUAGUAUAUCUUCAGAUUAGAGUGGAUAAUCCCAUUAGCCAGUGUUUCUUAGCACUCUCUGCGCUUUUGUCUUCUCAUGUUAACAAGUUUAGGAGACAUCACAUAAUUAUACUUAGGAAAUUGCAAAUGAACAGCAACAAAAGACCUAACAAACAACAUUCAUUGUCCCACUUACUUAAAAGAAAAUAAAGGCAAAUAAAAAGUGGAUAUCAGCUUUUUCAUAAAUUUAGUUUGGUAGUUCAUCAUUCCAAAAAA